AGAUGGGCAUGCGUGUCAUUAGCUCGUUGGUGAAGUAACGGCUCACCAAGGCCACGAUGACUAGGGGGUCUGAGAGGAUGAUCCCCCACACUGGUACUGAGACACGGACCAGACUCCUACGGGAGGCAGCAGUGAGGAAUAUUGGGCAAAGGACGCAAGUCUGACCCAGCCAUGCCGCGUGCAGGAUGACUGCCCUAUGGGUUGUAAACUGCUUUUGUUUGGGAAGAAACCCCCGAUCGUGAUCGGGGCUGACGGUACCAUACGAAUAAGCAUCGGUUAACUCCGUGCCAGCAGCCGCGGUAAUACGGAGGAUGCAAGCGUUAUCCGGAUUCAUUGGGCUUAAAGGGUGCGCAGGCGGAAUAUUAAGUCAGUGGUGAAAUCCUGCAGCUUAACUGUAGAACUGCCAUUGAUACUGAUAUUCUUGAAUAUAGUUGAGGUGGGCGGAAUGUGUAAUGUAGCGGUGAAAUGCUUAGAUAUUACACAGAACACCAAUUGCGAAGGCAGCUCACUAAACUAAUAUUGACGCUGAGGCACGAAAGCGUGGGUAGCAAACAGGAUUAGAUACCCUGGUAGUCCACGCUGUAAACUAUGAUCACUCGCUGUUGGCAAUACAUCGUCAGCGGCUGAGCGAAAGCAUUAAGUGAUCCACCUGGGGAGUACGCUCGCAAGAUUGAAACUCAAAGGAAUUGACGGGGGCCCGCACAAGCGGAGGAACAUAUGGUUUAAUUCGAUGAUACGCGAGGAACCUUACCUGGGCUUAAAUGCAGAGCGACGUCCGCCGAAAGGUGGAUUCCUUCGGGCGAUCUGCAAGGUGCUGCAUGGUUGUCGUCAGCUCGUGCCGUGAGGUGUCGGGUUAAGUCCCAUAACGAGCGCAACCCUUAUCGUUAGUUGCCAGCGGGUAAUGCCGGGGACUCUAACGAAACUGCCGGUGUAAACCGUGAGGAAGGUGGGGAUGACGUCAAAUCAGCACGGCCCUUAUGUCCAGGGCUACACACGUGUUACAAUGGUCGGUACAGAGGGCAGCUACCACGCAAGUGGAUGCUAAUCUCGCAUACCGGUCUCAGUUCGGAUUGUAGUCUGCAACUCGACUUCAUGAAG
rnacentral:rRNA from 1 species